rnacentral:rRNA from 1 species
AUCUUAAAUCUUCAAAGAUGGAUAUCUAGAAUCCUAUAACAAUGAAGAACGCAUCGAAAUGCGAUAGACAAUGUGAAGGGCAGAACGGUGAGUCAUCAGAAAUGGAACGCAAGUGGCGGCAGGUUCGGCUGUCAUGUUUAUUUCAG